rnacentral:rRNA from 1 species
AGCAGCCGCGGUAAUUCCAGCUCCAAUAGCGUAUAUUAAAGUUGUUGCAGUUAAAAAGCUCGUAGUUGAAUUUCGGGAUUAGCAGGUCGGUCGUGCCACUGGUACGUACUGGUCUUGCUGAUUCCUCCCUCUUGACGAGCCGUAAUGCCAUUAAUUUGGUGUUGCGGGGAAUCAGGACUGUUACUUUGAAAAAAUUAGAGUGUUUAAAGCAAGCAUGCGCUUGAAUACAUUAGCAUGGAAUAAUGAAAUAGGACGUUCGAUCUUAUUUCGUUGGUUUCUAGGAUUGACGUAAUGAUUAAUAGGGAUAGUUGGGGGCAUUAGUAUUCAAUUGUCAGAGGUGAAAUUCUUGGAUUUAUUGAAGACUAACUACUGCGAAAGCAUUUGCCAAGGAUGUUUUCAUUAAUCAAAGAACGAAAGUUAGGGGAUCGAAGACGAUCAGAUACCGUCGUAGUCUUAACCAUAAACUAUGCCGACUAGGGAUCGGUAUGAUGUUAAUUUUUAAU